AGAGUUGAUAUGGCUCAGGACGAACGCUGGCGGCGUGCUUAACACAUGCAAGUCGAGCGAUGAAGCUCUUCGGAAGUGGAUUAGCGGCGGACGGGUGAGUAACACGUGGGUAACCUGCCUCAUAGAGGGGAAUAGCCUUCCGAAAGGAAGAUUAAUACCGCAUAAGAUUGUAAUAUCGCAUGAUAUAGCAAUUAAAGGAGCAAUCCACUAUGAGAUGGACCCGCGUCGCAUUAGCUAGUUGGUGAGGUAACGGCUCACCAAGGCGACGAUGCGUAGCCGACCUGAGAGGGUGAUCGGCCACAUUGGGACUGAGACACGGCCCAGACUCCUACGGGAGGCAGCAGUGGGGAAUAUUGCACAAUGGGGGAAACCCUGAUGCAAGCAACGCCGCGUGAGUGAUGACGGUCUUCGGAUUGUAAAGCUCUGUCUUCAGGGACGAUAAUGACGGUACCUGAGGAGGAAGCCACGGCUAACUACGUGCCAGCCGCCGC
rnacentral:rRNA from 1 species